UUGAGAUGGGCAGCUUGGAGGCCUUGAGAAGUAAAAUAUGUACCAUUAACAGGCUCUUAAUUCUAACUUAUGCAGAAAGAGAUACCCACCAUCCUACCCAACAUCUGAUCUAGCCAUAAAAAGUAGGGCAUUCACUCCCUUAUUGGAGUUGCAGCGAUUCUUUCAGACCACAGGGCCUCGGGCUAUCUGCAAAGAAAAUAAGGCAGAUGGGAAUCCAAAUGUCUCCUCCUCACAAGAGACUUACCGUGGAAGACUGGGAUUUUGAGGUUCGGGCUUAUUUGCGGCUAAAGGCUUUGGAAUAGGAGUCACUCUGCGAGUUUUGGGGUGCAGCUCUUGGGAAGUUUCCAAAGGGGAGAGAGCUGAUUCCCCGAGAGGCGGCAUCUGCCGGUCCGGACAUUGAGGCCAUUUCUUUUCGCUGGUUUUGCUUUUGUGUUUGGCUAACAAUACGUCAAAUCUCUGUCUUCGGCCCUGCACAGCUCUCUUCUGGGUUAAGGAAUGUAUCUGCCAAGCAAAGAGAUACACGUUUCUGAGGCUCUGCUGAUUCCUGGUUAUGUCUUACCCAGACAUAUGUCUCACCAAGAAGGAGAUCAAAUGAAAAAAAAAAAAAAAGACCAGCCACAUGAUUCAUCAGGAUACAUAUAUAUUUACGUCUUUCAAGCAAGUUCAAGUUAAUGAUGGAGCUGCUAGAGGAUUUGGAGAUGGAAUCCACCAUCGUAGCUUAGCUUUCAUUUCUUAAAAAGGGCCAGUGUCAUAAAAUCUGAGAUGAAUUGAAGCUGAGAACUAUUCUCUCUCUCCCCCAUUUUAUGUAAUUGGUAAAAUAGGAAACCGAACUAAAAAAAUUAGACUCACAUUUCUCCCUUAUGAAAUCUAUACAUUCUCUUUGCUAGGGAACAUGACAAUACUGUAAAGUGCACACUCAAAAAUACAUAUUUACAAAGCUCGUGAAAGCUAUAUUCUUCUGCAUUCUUUACCAUAUGCCCAAAAUGAAUUCUUUGGGUUUUAAAUCCUAUUUUACCCCAGUUUCUACACCCAGAUUAUGUGAUGAAUUUGGGUGAACCCCGACAAGGCAGCCAGCCAGGAUUUGGGCAACCCUUAACCUCUCCCAUUUCUGUAGCUCGUGGCUGCUCUUUUUCUAAUCUCCUGAUCUGAGGGAUCAUUUGUAAAAACCUCUUUCAUUUAAUACAAAAAAUCCCCCAAAUUAAGUCUCCAUAGCAGCACAAACCGAGACCCUAAUUAAAUAUAACACAUCCAAAGUUUUCAUGGGUUCUGGAGCUAUCAAAAAGGAUCGGAAUACACAAACAGACAUACACACACACACACACACACA